rnacentral:lncRNA from 1 species
CUCUUUCUGUAAAUGUUCCACCACAAAACAUUCUGUUACACUGGAAUUAAGGUUGUAAAUACGCAUUAAGAAGUUUGAGCAAAUUCUGCACUAAUUGACCGUCCCAAGUACUGACAUCGAUGGAGAAAAAGCUAUUGGAGAGCAUUACAGGCUGGGUUCUCACCCCAGAAAUGCUACUCCAUCUCCACGUGAUCGAGAAUCAAAUCCUGUGCUGAACUUGGUAACAAACACCUGCUGGAGGUAUCAGGGAUGGAAGAUCAAUCUCACUCUUCACAAACAUCAAGGACAGGACUGCAAAAGCCCCCCAGUGGCUUAAUUUGGUUCUCAUUGAGUAAAUUACAUUUUUACCACUGGCUUUAACGACAACGGAGCCACGAAAAUAAUCAGCACUUUUGGAAGUCCUAUCCUCUGUAAUUCAAAUUCAAGAAAAUAAUGUCGGUUUCUUUUGUGCCCUUAGCUAACCUCUUAAAAAAAUCCCAUCAGCCUUUCACCCACACUUACAUCAUGGGAUGAACCACGGAUCACAACGAUACCAAGCUUACUUUCUGCUCCAGCCACAGAAAACACAUGCUACUGGCAAAACCACUGCUAAUUGAAGUCGACAUCACUCUUCCCCUUGCCCUUGACAGAUCUGACCACUUCUGUGGCUGAAAUUAAAACAUUUGUUUUCCUUCACCUUCAGAAGAUCAUACUUUAUUGUUAACAUGUUAGAGAACAGUAUCACAGGCUAAGCAAAUCAAACAAUAAUUAACAGAAAAUUAAACAACAGCAAUUAAUAGGGAUACCUUCAAGUAGUCUCCGAAUGAUAAUACAACAACUCACAGCGGUGCUAUGAAGCCUGGUUUACUUCUACCUGUAAUUUACUUUGAGAUCUUAGCAUAAAAGGAGCUUAGAAUUGAAAAAUAUCAUUAUUAGCAUAAAAAUGAGGUAUGUUCUAUUUAUUUUGUGCAAUAAUUUAGCAGAUCAUAUUACACAACUUUAUACUGUACACACAAGGUCACACAGGAUAUGACUUGUCACACUGCGUUGCCUAUGCAUGAAAUCCUCAUUUUGUGCAGAGCUCCAAAAUAUAUAUUCAUGUCAGAAUAUCUUACUGUCCAGCAAUAGCCUGAGAGUUUCAUUCUAUUACAUACAGGGGAAACAAAUUCAGCGUCAUUUGAGAGUUCUCCUCUCCUCUCAAUACCCGAAUGAACCCUCAUUAAUCAAGAACUGCAGAUAGCCACCAAAAGGGAACCAGCCCUGUUACUGCUCUCUGCAGUCUGAGACGAAAUUAUAUCCAUUCUCUUAGCAUUUUUCAAGCAUUUCUGUGCGACUGCCCCAAUCAAACAGCCAAAAUGUGGCACCAAUUUCAUAAGAUCAGUUAGCGGGGAAGAGAAUAGCUUUAUUAAAUGCUAAAAAAAAAAAACAACCCAACAAUCAGAAUUGUUUCUAAGGAUGGAAUGUCACCGACUGCGCCAGCAUGGCUUCUACUGCACAGCUCACAGCUCUGGAGACAGCACGACUUUCUCCAUCCUGCCCAGCAGCGCACACCGGGACCUCCAGCACUGCUCACGCCCGCCCUCCUGAUGCUGGUAGAUGGACAAGCAGGGGCUCCUAUCUAACCCUGCUGCCUGUCUCCCCAUCAGCUCCUGGUUGUUUAGGUUUAAAUGCUUUUCUCCUCCAAAUACAUCCACGCUGGAGAAAACAAGAAAAUUCUUUGAGUAUGACUUCUUGGAGAAUUCUUUUUUUUUUUUAACCAGACAUAAAUCCGAAAUUAUGGUAUAAGCCAUUCCUAGCAGGGCAGCUUGCUCAACGAAAUCCUUAAAUCUAGGAUGUGUCAGUUUGCAUUAGGAAAAGAAAUACUACCGUGGUCUUCAAUAAAACAGCAGAAAGCAGGAACAGUUUAGAGAUCAGAGCACAUAAGCAGUGUAGCCUCCAGACCAGAACAGCAGGUCUGACACGAGAUUCAGGUAAAUAGCCAGAACAGAACAGCAAUUAACAGUUAACAGGCCACUUAAGUUAAGAGCUUUCCUUGAGAAAACAGCCUCAGACCUUCAGAGACUCCGGGAACUGACAGUUCAAGCAGGAAGUAAAAUGGCAAAAAAUCGAAGCGUGUGGGGAAUUUCCUCAGCAGGCCUUUUAUCCACAAUCUGUACGUACGAAGCCAGGAGUGCCCGGCCUGAAUGCGGAUGGAGGGCAAUGGGAGUGCAAGGGAGGAGGCUCUGCAGACAGCGGGAUCUCUGUGCUGCAGCUCUCGUUUUCUGGGCAGCUGACAUCCCCUAUGCGCACUUUGUGUUCCCGCAGUCCCAACUAAGGGGCACUGGCUUGGAGAAGCAGAGCCACAGCCCGCGUGCAGGCAAACCUGGGGACAUGCAGGAGCACAACCAUUGGAAAUGAAAGUAGGUCCAGCACAGAGAACACCGGAAACCAGCCAACUGCCUUCCCCAGCCCUUCGAUCCUACUGCCAAAGCAGUCAUCCUGCAGUCCCCGUGCCCCCAGCAGAACCCUGCAAGACGUGUGCACAGUGCUGUUCCCGCAGCGCCCCGCCGCUCCCCAGCAUCCUGCUGCAGGGAUGCAUGCAGCACAGCCAGACAUGCAGCCCAGGAUGAGAGCGAAGAUAGAAAUAAUUUUGCUGUGGAUCCAAAUGGUGGCAUCGUGCUGUACUGACUUCGUCUCUUGUCUUCAUUCCACUAGCUUUUCACAAGGACGUGCUUUGGAGGCAUGACUUUACAAAGGUGUUGCUUUACAAUCUUUUUAAAAAUGAGUUAUUUCAGCAUAAAACUAUGUAAAAAUUACGCCUUGUGGAUGCACAAUGGUAUUUUUAUUGCAUUCUUAGAUACGGCUCACUGAACAGUAAAACCAAUUUUCAUGUGAUCUUAAAGAGGGCAGAAGUCUUUGUCACGCUUUGAAAAAUAACUUUUGCACAAAUUUGUUUAUUGGAGUUAUUAAUUUCUGUGAAUAUUCAGGCAGUGCUCCGUUGGCCUUAGCAGCGACAAAGAAAGAAUGGCAAGCAGAUUUUAUUAAACUAGAUUACAUUGGAUGGCUUACAUUUCCUUUCUCUGUUCAUCCAUUUAAAAGAAAAGAAAAUGCAACACUUCAUCUGAUACCAGUUCUGUUGCGUGAGUCCAACUGAGGGAUUGCUCAAGGGUACCUUUGUACCACGUCAAACUUCAGGAUUUUUACUACUCCAGCACAGUGGACUGUGACAGAGAUACAGGUAAUAUUAAUCACCAUGGAAUCAUAGAAUGGCCUGGGUUGAAAAGGACCACAAUGCUCAUUCAGUUUCAACCCCCUGCUGUGUGCAGGGUCACCAACCAGCAGACCAGGCUGCCCAGAGCCACAUCCAGCCUGGCCUUGAAUGCCUCCAGGGA